rnacentral:tRNA from 1 species
GCGCGGGUGGCGAAAUGGUAGACGCGCUAGUUUCAGGAGCUAGUGGGGUAAAACCUGUGUGAGUUCGAGUCUCAUCCCGCGCACCA